CUGGACUCAUGACUUGUUUAUAUUUUUAGAUUUCCCUGUUUCAUUUUCGGUGCCGCAUACGACAGAACAUGGUUUUUGUCAUAAUUAUUACUUUUCCUUAGAACACGGUUUCUGUCAUGAGAAAGAAAAAAAAGAUUUCAUCGUCCAUGAACAAAUCAAAAUGAUGAACAAUUUAAUUCCGAACUCUAUAUGAAGGAGGAUGCAAUUAGGAAAAGGUCUUCGCAUUACAUUUUACAUAAUUUCCUCCACUGGAUGCCUUUUAUUAUCAGAGGUAGUGCAUAUUAGAGCUAGAAUUACCAAAACAGAUUUCUCGAUAGUAGAAAUGGUCAAGAAAGUAGAAAUGUGUCCAAACAAUAAAUCUGAAUGGUUUCUGGAAUCAGACAGAAAACAAUGCUCAACUUUAAAC